rnacentral:lncRNA from 1 species
UCACCCUUCUGGGCCAAACCAUUCUGCUGGCAGAUCCCAUGUGGGAAGAGAGUGAGCAGGGGAGGGUCCAUUCCCCAUCCUGAGGUUGUUGGUGGAAGACGUUCACAGGAUUCCUCCUUCAGAAUGGGCUUGCAUUUCCUGUACACACAGCGAUGGCUGGGCAUCCUGGAAGUGGGGCAGGCAGCUGAAGAACAGAGAAGCAAGGUUUCCACCUCACCCUACCGUACACAUGCUUUGGACUUUGGAAUCGAAGUUCAGGGGGCAUCUUAGACCUGCCAGUUUGAGGACGGACUCAGUCAAGAGGCACAGCGGGGGCCCCUGUGCAGGAUGCUCAUACCGGGCUAAAGAGACGAGCACUCAUGCGAGGUGGGAUGUUACAAAGGUCCCUACAUCUCUUGGUGCUACCCUUGAGAACCGGACCCAGGCCUACAAAGCUCCUCCAAACCCAGACAAUAGAGUCCUUCAAUGCCCAGCUUCAAAAAUGGGGAGGUAAUAAAGGUAACAGGUGGACGGACAGUCCCUUA